CAACUUACCUAUCAGAGGGGGACAGCCCGGCGAAAGUCGGAUUAAUACCCCAUAAAACAGGGGUCCCGCAUGGGAAUAUUUGUUAAAGAUUCAUCGCUGAUAGAUAGGCAUGCGUUCCAUUAGGCAGUUGGCGGGGUAACGGCCCACCAAACCGACGAUGGAUAGGGGUUCUGAGAGGAAGGUCCCCCACAUUGGUACUGAGACACGGACCAAACUCCUACGGGAGGCAGCAGUGAGGAAUAUUGGUCAAUGGCCGAGAGGCUGAACCAGCCAAGUCGCGUGAAGGAAGAAGGAUCUAUGGUUUGUAAACUUCUUUUAUAGGGGAAUAAAGUGGAGGACGUGUCCUUUUUUGUAUGUACCCUAUGAAUAAGCAUCGGCUAACUCCGUGCCAGCAGCCGCGGUAAUACGGAGGAUGCGAGCGUUAUCCGGAUUUAUUGGGUUUAAAGGGCGCGUAGGUGGUGAUUUAAGUCAGCGGUGAAAGUUUGUGGCUCAACCAUAAAAUUGCCGUUGAAACUGGGUUACUUGAGUGUGUUUGAGGUAGGCGGAAUGCGUGGUGUAGCGGUGAAAUGCAUAGAUAUCACGAAGAACUCCGAUUG
rnacentral:rRNA from 1 species